GCAAGAGGGAACAUGGUGCAUGUUUUGUUUACUUGCUCUAUUGAAUACAGAUUUGAUCGAUUAAGUCUACAAUUUGAUCGAUUAUUAACCACUUACCGAGAUAGCUAACUAGCUCCUAAAUUAGAAAUACAACUGCAAAUCAUUUAGCACAUUUUAGACAGUUAACUUAAUAGUUCUAAGAUAUCUAGUUGACAAACAUUUAGUUGUGAAUUCCAUACUGUAAUUAGAUCACCAAGCGCACGCUGCACAACAGUGAGUGAUUUAUACUUAAUCUAACAAACUAUUAUGUUAUCUAAUGUAUAUUCAUGUCAGGUUACCAACAAGGUUGUGGUUAAUGUGCAUGCAGCAACGUGUCCAUGCCACCUGAAAUUAAUUAAAUAAAUAAUAAAGACAGUGACUUUGGGAAGGUAUUUUGUGGCCGAUAGACCCUGAAGUAGUUGUUCCCCUUUCUCUGCAAGUGCCGCGGCUUUUGUGGAGCGAUUGGUAACGAUGCUUCGUGAGUGACUGUGGUUGGGGCGAGGAGAAGGACGGAGGUUAUAUACAUGAUCGAUUGAAGUUGUUUCAUUAUGCAUCAACAAGUUGUUAGUCACUUGAUAACAUUAUAACCACUGGACAAUGUAACAACUUACUACAUUAACAGACAAACUGGUCAAGGGCUUGAUGAUUAGUUGACCAGUAGAAUGUGAGGGGUAUUCUUACCAAGCAGGUUUGAGUUAGCGAGGUAACUUUGGUCAACUCGGCAUAACUGGUCAUACCAAAGUGGCUCACUUUUCAGCCAGGUGCAUUUCUAUAGCAACGAAUCCUUCAGAACUAACCGGAUCUGGGUCAGACUAACUCAAUUAAUUUCCCCCCAUAGGAAUGGCUGAACGAAACAGAACAUUUCCGUUUUCUAGGACUAAAGAGCUCGCCAUUUUAUGACUGCGCCACGAGUUGUGGAACAAUGAAAUCAGAUUCAGAUCCCCUUCAUUUGACGUAAAUGACUGAGGUGCGUUCAGUUUGCUUGAACGUUUGCUACAUUACUGAACAGUUUUUACUGAACGACACGUUUCCCCAAAACGUUAUUGAACAGACUUUGAGGUGGAGGCAGGAGUGGUCAAUACUGCACAGAGGAGGGCCCGGAGAACAAGAAAGAUGAAGAAGAGGAGGGCUACCUUUCCAAAAUCAAGAACAGCUUUAGCUGAUAGUCACGUCUCAGUUAGGACCCCUUUACAUUAGAUCUGUAAUAUAAGAGAUCAACAGGACAAUAAUGGGAGAAGGAAAGCUACUGGUGCUCCGAACUGAUGUCCACUAGAGACAACAACAAUGAAUUGCUGGGUCUCGGGAGGAUAUGUCUAUUAAAGUAGUCAACAGUUCCGUAUGUGGUCCCAUAUUCGUAGCAAAGACUACAUCAAGCUUGUUCCUCUGAGAACUUGUUGGAUGCAUUUGCAGUUUGUUUCGGUUGUGUUAUGGGCUUUGUUUUAUCAAAUAGGAACUAAGUGAGUUAAUAAGAUGUUUCUGGACACGCCAUGAAGAAAAAUAAAUAGAAUAAUGUUUAGUGAGAAGGUUACAGAGACUACAGUAAAACAUGCUAACCUCUCACCAUUACCAAUAACAGGGGAGGUUAGCAUUUGGGGGGGAGGUUGAUAUUUGUGCUUUUUUACUUUCUCACUCAUCAUUAUUCACAAUUAAUUCAUGAUUAUUCAUAUUCAUAUUAGCAUCAACAUGAAUAGAAGUGUCCAGAAACAUCUUCUUAAUAGAAGUGACUCCAAACGACCCAAUAUAUUAUUCACCAUUCAGUUCCUAUUCGGCAAAACACAACAAAAAAACAGCAAAUGUCUCCCAAGUUUGUCAAGUUAAUCAAAAGCUUGAUUACUACAGAGCUCCAGUAUCUAACAUUGUACCAUGUACGUAGGCCUACUACUUCCUUGUGGAUUGGACUGUUGCUUAGGCCUCUCCCAAGUACAGUCUACUACUCUGAUCUGUUCUAGGUAAGACCGUUCUAAGUGGAGAAGAGAAGGACAGACUGAAAAGGAAAGCCUGCCUGUAGCAGAAGGGGUCUCCAUAGUGAUUGAGACAGUUGCUAUGUGACCGCGUUACAUUGUUUGAUGUUUUUCUGUGCCGACACCUGAUCCAGGGCUGUAGAGAUUCUGGUCCAGAGGUUUCCAAUAGACUGUGGACUUUAGUGCCAUUGGUCUUCAUGAGACAGACCACAUGUCUUAUGCCAGAUCAUAAGGACCAAGAGGGUGAAAGUGAAAACAGUGUUGAGUGAGCUGGCUUAUAAACCCACUGCUUUUACAUUCGGGUGUCGUGUCCCAAAACACAUUUAAAAAGUAUAUAACCUUCAUUUAAACACAUAUUCAGUCUUUGUAACAAUUAUUUUAUUGAAUUGACCCUUACUAAAAGUCAAUGCUGUCGGUAGAUCUACACCUAAAAGUCAAUGCUGUCGGUGGGUCUACACCUAAAAGUCAAUGCUGUCGGUGGGUCUACACCUAAAAGUCAAUGCUGUCGGUGGGUCUACACCUAAAAGUCAGUGCUGUCGGUGGGUCUACACCUAAAAGUCAGUGCUGUCGGUAGGUCUACACCUAAAAGUCAGUGCUGUCGGUGGGUCUACACCUAAAAGUCAAUGCUGUCGGUGGGUCUACACCUAAAAGUCAAUGCUGUCGGUAGAUCUACACCUAAAAGUCAAUGCUGUCGGUAGGUCUACACCUAAAAGUCAAUGCUGUCGGUAGGUCUACACCUAAAAGUCAAUGCUGUCGGUAGGUCUACACCUAAAAGUCAAUGCUGUCGGUAGGUCUACACCUAAAAGUCAAUGCUGUCGGUAGGUCUACACCUAAAAGUCAAUGCUGUCGGUAGGUCUACACCUAAAAGUCAAUGCUGUCGGUAGGUCUACACCUAAAAGUCAAUGCUGUCGGUAGGUCUACACCUAAAAGUCAAUGCUGUCGGUAGGUCUACACCUAAAAGUCAAUGCUGUCGGUAGGUCUACACCUAAAAGUCAAUGCUGUCGGUGGGUCUACACCUAAAAGUCAGUGCUGUCGGUGGGUCUACACCUAAAAGUCAGUGCUGUCGGUAGGUCUACACCUAAAAGUCAAUGCUGUCGGUAGGUCUACACCUAAAAGUCAGUGCUGUCGGUGGGUCUACACCUGAUAUAUACAGUAGAUGGCGCUGCUAAACUGUGAAUAAUCCAACCAAGUCACUGGCAGCUGACUUAUCGCUAGCGCCCACACACACACACACACACACACACACACACU